rnacentral:lncRNA from 1 species
GAGGCUGAGAGAGAGAGAGACUUGGCAAGGGAAAUCUUAUGGGUAUACUGAAACAGCAGAUCAGAAUUGUGAAACCAGAGCUAGGGCUGAAAUGUGAUGCUUUUGCUCUUUUGUGCUUGUUGUGGUUCUCAUCUUCCCAUUUAGAGGGCUGCAUACUAUUCAACAGCAUAUUUUGAUCUCAGAUUGAACAAUGCAGCAAUCAAGCCUGAUAAGCCACCUGGAAGUUUUGCUUGAGACGAUUUCUAGUGGGUUUACUGAUCCCUGUGAGCAUCAUGACUGCCUUUAGCAUUGUGGAGGAGGACUCGAGUUUCUUAUGAGGGCCCCACUUGGAAAAGCCGGCUGUGCAGAUUCAAGCCUCCGGUUCUGUUCAUGCUAUUCAAAAGCCUUUCCUCACCCUUGCUGAUUUAUUUUUAUGAUUUACAUACACUCCUGUGGAGAUUUACAGAAUGGAUUGUCUGUGCAUUGUCACGACCAAGCAGAGCCAUGGCAGAUGCCCAUCUCACAAAUGCUCAGUCGAAACACCUGCCUGGAUACCCAUUCAGCACUCUACCGUAAGUUUGAGCCUUUUAAUACAAAGAUUUGAGGGACUGAAUGGUAAGUCUCUGUGCUUGGAGUAGCCCUGGGCGGGUAAACAUAAUUAAUGCAUUUGAGAAAGAACAGUAAUGAGUCCUACAUCUAGACCAAGCUCCUUGGAAAGCCUAAACUGUUGACGUGUUGAGUUUUGGCUUAGCAGUGCUUCUCCAGGAAUUUAGACUCUCUAGGAAUUGAAUGCAUUCAACUUGGACCAGUGGGGAUUGGUGAAAAGUGUGGUAUAGUGUGAUGAUGGAGUGUGGAGUUACUGAUGAUUUCUAUAACUGGGCCCCAGCUGAGUGUGGUGACUGGGAGCCAUCCAGAUCCAGGUGGUGAUGCAAGGAAGGGGAGAUGCAUCUUUCCUUAUCCACAUUCUCAUGGAAAAAAGACUGAUGAUUCCAAGUGCUUUACAGACUAUUAACUGGGAAUCUGCCCAGCAUAGGUAACAACAGCUUUUGGGAUGAUGGAUAAUAAGCAAAACUUGGUCUGCUGAGUUUAUAGGAAAUUUUUGCUGUAAAUGCUUUCCUCCUCUUGCAAAUUAGAUGACUUUAGUGAGAUUUGCUUUUAACUAUCAAAGACAGAGUGAUAUUUGAGAAGGAAAAAACCUAACUGCGGUCAAGUUGACACUGCUUUGAUUUAUAUCUUGUCUCAGCGUGUAUUGUAGAUAGAGCCAAAUCUUUGGGUGUUGGAAGUUAGAGGGGUGACUAUGAGAGCUGUGAUGAUUUAUUGCACCUAAGGAAUUGGCAAGAUUUCACUGACAUUUCCGUUGGCUCUGGACCACAGCAUGAUGUUGGUCCACAGCUAUCAACUUGUCACUUUUUAUGAGUAGAUGAAUGAGAAACAAAUUCAAGUUGUCACUCUCCCUCAGUCUCUCAGUAAUCUUGCAAGUGAUUGUAAGCUCUGAGGUUUUGAUUGUCUUUAUAUUAUGUUAAAAUUAUUUAUGUUAUUGUUUAUCUCUAUGAUAAGACCUGCUUAAAAAUAUCAA